CCCAGGCGAACGCGCCAGCCCCGAGCCCCGUCCCACCACAUCCGGCGGGGGUGACGAAUCCCACCUUGCCGCCGCCCCCGAACCGCCACGGCUCGCAGGAGGGGGCGGGCGCGGUCUGCCCCUCUCCCCACGAAGGCGAGAGGGCGGGUGGCUAGGUGUGGGGAACUCAGACACAAAGAGACUAAAUGACUUGUCCAAGAUCACACAAGAAGUCUGUGACAGAGCAGAGAAUUUAACCCCUGUUCCGUGGAUACCAGUCUAGCGUCCUUUCUUUUGGAUCAUUGUUCCUGUCCACACCGGCUAAUGGACAACUGUACAAUAAGAUGUUCUCCAAUCAUUUCCUUACAAUUCAUGAAAUUGCUCCCUGUAAGCUCACUCAGUAGCAAGCACAAGAUGGAUGUCAGUAAUUGUGAUUCAGAAAAUGUCACAUCAGUAAGUCACUGAUAGAACAGAACUUUGCAACAAGACGCUCACAGUACAGGUUGUCAUCGGGCUGAACUCCUCAAAGCAUUUCAGGCCUGUGUUCUCCUCCUCUGGUCUUCAGCUUAUUACCUCUAGUUUCUCUUUUUGCUACCACGAUUCUGUUGUUUCAUGGAAAAUACAGCUCUUGUUGUCUUCAUCAGUAUGAAGAAUUUGCUUCUGUCCAUUCUAUAAAAGGAUUUUAAUGUAGGAAGAAGAAACUUCCCAGCAUUUUAUCUUUAUACAAACCUCGAAUAAAAACAUCACAUCAACAUAAAACUUCAGACGUGCAUCAAGAGCAGAUAGUUAACACAAACCACCCAGAAGGCGCCCACUCAUGAGACCAGGCUUGGAAUAUGUGGCAGAAACAAUCAUUGUGUUCUUCGCCGCUGAGACCAGAGUUGGCCAGAAGAAUAGCAACAUUAAAAGCAAACUGACUAAUGAAGAUUAGAGUACUCCAAACAGUCUGGCAGAGAUGCAGCUCAAACCACACAGGUCUGCUCAACAGCUCACCCAGUACGCAAGGGCCACCCUCCUACUGAACUGCAAAUUGGACACAAAGUUACAGGCAGCUUAUCACCAGCUUGAAAUCCUGGAAUACAAAGACUGCAAGACAGCAGUGAAGAGGCAGAAAAAGUGCUCCACUAAAAUAGAUCAAGAACAGUGACUUGUGGUUUCUAGGGUGACACUGUGGAUAAGCCCAGGGGAUUUGAUUAACUGCAGCUCACAUGAGGUGGCAUAAAUUAUUCAUUUCUAGCCUAUGCAAACUUAACUGGUUGCUGUGUCAGCAAAUAUGCCAAGACUUGCUUCCAGUAUACUUUGUGCUAAGUUAGAAAUCCUCUUCCGAUUGAGCCCUUGAUUCCCUCCCACUGGCAUGUGGGACCUGGAGGUGCAAUUUCUACUCGAUGCACUAGAGGGAACUGUUUCCCUUCGGGGAAUGCACCUUUAACCUGCCAUUGAGCCUUGGAGUCCCACUGACAGAGGUUGUCUGGCAGAAACUGGUGCAUAACCUGCGAGGAGUUUGCCACACCCACUACUAGCACCAUGCAUUUUGGGACUACAUCAGUCAGUUCUGGGCUUCCCUAUCAGAGCAGGACUUGUGGGCACCAUGCUUUGCUGAGACUCCUAGUCUAGGCAAACUUUAUCCUUCUGGUUGGAAUGAAUCAAGCCGGAGACCUAUUAAAUAACCAGGCAGUAGCCAAGCUAUUCCCUUAACAGGAUGGGUAUUUACUCCGGAGGCUUUCAUUAUCUUAUGAAAAAUGGUUUGGAACCCAGAAAAUGUACUAAUUUAGGCGAUCUGCUGUAUUAAUACACUUCAGUUUUAUCUAUAUUAAACCUUUCAAUGCACAAGA